AUGUCAGCAAAGUGCAAAUAUAU
rnacentral:snRNA from 1 species